GACGAACGCUGGCGGCGUGCUUAACACAUGCAAGUCGAGCGGUAAGGCCCUUUCGGGGGUACGACGAGCGGCGAACGGGUGAGUAACACGUGGGUGACCUGCCCUCAGCUCUGGGAUAAGCCUGGGAAACUGGGUCUAAUACUGGAUAUGACUCCACGGUGCAUGUCGUGGGGUGGAAAGCCUUGUGCGGCUGAGGAUGGGCCCGCGGCCUAUCAGCUUGUUGGUGGGGUGAGGCCUACCAAGGCGACGACGGGUAGCCGGCCUGAGAGGGCGACCGGCCACACUGGGACUGAGACACGGCCCAGACUCCUACGGGAGGCAGCAGUGGGGAAUCUUGCGCAAUGGGCGAAAGCCUGACGCAGCGACGCCGCGUGAGGGAU
rnacentral:rRNA from 1 species